rnacentral:lncRNA from 1 species
UUCAGUUUCACGGGGAUGUUCGUUUUUUCUCUGGUUAGUCCUAGAAACUCGAUCUUCAGUCUUCUUUUGAUCAAGGAAAACUUUCGUACAGUCAAGUAAGUUGUACUAACAAUUUCUAUUAUUCAGUUUCAAUGUUUUAUUUAAAUAUGUGUUUAUAUGAUUACAGAUUACAAUUGAUUGACAUGAUUCGUUGCUUUGAAGCCCGGGGGAGGAGGUUGUUACUGAAUAUCAUUUUGGGUAUUACUGUGCCGACAGCAUUUGCCAAAUGUUAUUUAAUUCAAUUCUAAAUAGCAGGUUGACAAAAUUUUUAAAAACUAGAAACAUAAUUAGAAGUGAGCAAAUUGGUUUUACUAAAGGAUGUCGCACACCCAUCAUUCAAAAAUGUGUGAAAAAUAAUUCGAAGCCUCUGUAUGCGUGCUUUGUAGAUUUUGAGCGUGCAUUUGAUUCAGUUUCACAUCUCCACCUUUUUUAUAAACUUAAAUGUAUAGGUGUUGGAACAAAAUUUUAUGACAUUAUAAAUGUAUGUAUGAAAACACAGAAACCUGUGUAAAAAUAGACCAACACAGGACAAACCUUUUUAAAUCAAAUAUAGGAGUAAGACAAGGGGAUAAUCUCAGUCACGGUCUCUUUAAUAUAUAUUUAAAUGAUUUGCCAACCUAUUUUGACCAAACAUGUGACCCAAUCCAUUAAAUACACAUCCCUUAAAUAUUUUAAUGUAUGCUGAUGAUGUAGUUCUUUUAUCAUCAUCAGAGCAAGGACUUCAAAAUUGUGUUAACAAAUUAAGUAAAUUUACAGUUGAUUAUAAAAUGACAGUUAACACAAAAAGACCAAGGUUCUUGUAUUUAACAAAUCAGGAAGACUUAAAAAUAUUAAAAUAUCAUUAGGAAACCAGACUUUAGAAUGUGUACAGAACUACACAUACUUAGGUAUAAAUUUUUCAUCAUCUGGGAGUUUCCAAAUAGCAAAGAAAGAACUUUAUAACAAAGGAAUGAAAGCAUAUUUCAAAUUAAGGAAGACCUUUUCAGUGGAAAGCCCAAAACCUAGUACUUUAUUACACAUCUAUAACCAUACAAUCCCACCAAUCUUGUUGUAUGGAUCUGAAAUUUGGGGUUAUAUACCACAUAAGAAACAAAUACAUUUGGAUAACUUUAUAUCAAAAGAAACUGAUUAUCUUGUACUAGAGAAAAUUCAUACUAAGCUUUGUAAAUUUUCACUUGGAGUUAAUAUAAAAACAUCAAAUAUGGCAUGUAGAGGAGAACUAGGUUCACUCCCUACACUGUAUUAUGUAAUAAUGAAUAUGGUAAAAUAUUGGAUCCAUCUUAUGAAAGAUUGAACCUUCAAAUAUUAUUCUUAGGGAAGCCAUAAAUCUAUCUCAUUCUAUGGACAAACAUAAACAGGAAUCUUGGAUAGGAAGCAUUAAACAUAUAUUUAAAUUUCUAGACUUAGAAUAUCUAUUUGUUAACCUGAGUCAAACUUUAAACAAAACCAUAUUCUAAAAAAAGUAAAGACAUCUUUAUCUAUUAAAUUUAAAGAAAGAUGGUCAGCUAGUUUAGAAAGCAAUUCUGGGAAGUGUACUUAUUUACAAUCUGGCAAUAAAUUAAGAACUUACAGAAAAUUUAAAAAUAUUUCUAUGUUUGAACCAUAUUUAAAAAUGAAUUAAAAAAAAGACAGGCAAAUUUAGAACUAGCUGUCAUGAUCUUGAAAUCGAAAGAGGGAGGUUUAUUGGAAUUAAAGCUGAAGACAGAAAGUGUAAGCUAUGUAAGAACGCAGUUGAAGACGAACUACAUUUUCUUUUAAAAUGUCCUGUUCUAAAAGAUACUCAAUCUCAACAUCUAUCUAAUUUAAAUUCUAAAUUCAAAAAUUUUCAAAAUUAUCUGAUUCAUGAAAUGAAAUUUGUUUGGAUUCUUUCAUCUUAAGAUUUGUUUGUUACUUCAAACUUAUCUAAUUUAUUGCACUCCCUUUUUGAAGAACGAAAGAAAAUUAUAGAAAAUAUUGUUGUUUGAAAAAAAAAAUAGAAGAAAAAUAUAUAUAGAUAUAUAUAGGAAAUAAAAUUGGUCAGGAGUUGUCUCCCAUAGACCUAGAACUAUAAAGAUUUAUGUAAUUUCUUCAGGUCACAGUGGCAUCCAUAACAACUAUGUUUUGUCAAUAACUUGGUUUAUAUCAGGUUAAUUAGUGUAAAUGUGUAUUCAUGUGGUAUUUUGUUUAAAUGUACUUUAAUCAUUCUAAUAAUUUUCUGUGCUUUAUUUGUAAUUCAUUUGAUUGUAUAGCUCAAAUUUUGGGCACCAUGAUUGGUUAAUAAAAUUAUCUAUCUAUCUAUCUAUCUAUCUACCCUGUUCUAACCAGAAAACAUUUAAAAACACACCUUGUUCUAAAGUAAACAGAAAUAUCGAAAAACACAUCCUGUUCAACUUCUAGACAUGCUCAGAAAGUAUACCCUGUUCUAGACCGUAUAAAAAAGAUCCUGUUCUAGAACCGGGUUCUAGACUUGUCUUAAACAGUUAAAUAAGCGAUCCAGUUCUAGACAAAAAAUACUUUGUUUUAAAAAAAGACUGUGUUCUCACAAGCAGGGCAUGAAAAAGCGACCAUGUUCUAACCAACAGACAUGAAUAAGGGACCCUGUUCUAACCAGCAGGGCAUGAAAAAGGAAUCCGGGUCCGUUCGCCCUGAUUCUGGUUCGCCCUAGUUUCUGUUCGCCCUCAGGGCUAAUACCUGUUUGCCCUGAGUCCGUUCGCCCUGAUUUUAUUUUUAAGUAUAGUGUUGCGUUGUGUGUAUAUAAUUGAAUGUGUUGAAGUCGGUCUACAAUUUCGCCGAAUAUUUACGAUGACGAUGUAUCAUGUUAAAUUGUCUAAAGCUAGCUGCUUUACAUGCUAUACUAGGUUAUAAGUUUCAGUACAUUUCAGGACAAUAAGUUUUUGAGGACUAAGUUUGUAUCUGUAUGUAAUUACGUUACUAGGAAAUAUAAGUUUCUGUAAAUUUCAGCACCACAUUGUAUUUUUAAAUGUAAAACAACUGAAGACUAAAUUAUUUGUAUGUAAUUGAAUAUGUUGAAGUUUACAUUCACCGAAUAUUUAUUUAUGAUGUGUUCUGUGGUACUGCUAUUUAUAGGAAAUAAGUUUCUCGGAAUUUCAGCACUACAUUGUAUUUUUAAAUGUGAAACAACUGAAGACUAAGUUGUUGUCUUGCUUCUACAAGGAUAAGUUUCUGACUUAUACCUGACAUAAAACAAUAAUCCUAAAGACUAACAUGACUAUGUUAUUUAUAUAUUUAACUUUAUUGAUACAUUUUAACAACUUAAAAAUAUUCAGUAACAGUUAUAACAAGAUCAAUUCCGAACUGUACGUCGCACACAUUUAUUUCCUAAACAAAUAUUUAAAAGCACUAAAUAGAAUUACUAUUAGUGAAACAAAUACCAAAAACACAGUCACACUGCUGUACAUUGAUCACUUGUCAUCAGUGUUUUUACCCAUCCUUUUUUUAUUUAUUUUUUUAUUUCAAACUGAAUUUUACCCAUCCAAGCUGACUAUUUUAUUUGAGAAAAAUGUUAUUCUCAUUAUUAAUCCAUCAAAGACAAUUUAUAUAACAAUCAGUGAUAUCAAUGGUUUCAAAUGACACCUACUCAGCAAUCAAAUUCCAUCAACAGUAAUAUUAAAAGUAAUUAUAAAAUAAAGUGUAACAAUGCAGCCAAGACUUUUAUUUAAUUAAUAUAAAUUUGGCAAAUAUUCUGUAUUUAACUUUUAAUAGAUAUAUAUAAAUUUUAAUAAAUUUGAAUAUAUAUAUAUAUUUCGUUCAUUGAUGUAACAUAUACAUAUCAUAAAUGAAUAUAGGGCGAACGAACCCAGGGCGAACGGACUAUCAGGGCGAACAAACUCAGUGCGAACGAACCUAGGGCGAACAUGUUAUCAGGGCGAACGAUACCGAUACCAUGAAAAAGCGACCCUGUUUUGCGGCACACUCAUACCAUCAAAAAUAAAGGAAGUACCCCCCUCUAAUGAAUCAAGAAUCACAUGAGAACACAUCGGGAGAUAAUCCUUUUGAAUGUGAUUUGAAGUCAAAUAUGUCCUUGGAUAAAAAAAAAUUACGAGGUUCAUUUUCUUGUCAAACACUACGAUGGUAUACAUGUGUGUUUAUCUUGGAAUAUAGGACGUCACGAAAUUGAUUGAUUGAAUUUAAUUUCUGUUGAGAACGACCAGUGUACGGUGGCUUUAUUAAAAUCACAAAUUUUCAACGUUUAGUUUUCUGCAUAUCUUAGUUUUAUAGGAACUAAUAAUCAUAGACAAUACUAUUUUCUAUAAAGUUGCAUUAUUAGUACUUUCUCAGAAUCAGUACAUCUGAGUUUGUCAACUAUUUUCAGGUUCUAUAUCCCUAGUUCAUGGUCCAACGACUUUAGUAAUCUGAAGAGACACAUAAUGAGACACACGAAAACACAUACUGGAGAUAACAUUAAAUGUAAAGAAUGCGGUAAAAAGUUAAGUCAAGUCAGUAAUGUUAAAAAGGGCAUCAAAACAUAUUCAGGUGAAACACCUCAUGAAUGUAAUGUAUGUGAUAAAGUGUUCAGUCAGCAUGGUAAUUUACAGAUUCACACGAGAACACAUACGGGAGAUAAACCUCAUAGCUGUGAUGUAUGUGGUAAAGGAUUUAGACAGCGUAGUAAUUUACUGAUUCACAUGGGAGUACAUACGGGAGAUAAACCUCAUAACUGUGAUGUAUGUGGUAAAGGGUUUAGCCAGCGUAGUAGUUUAAAGAGACACACGAGAAUACACACAGGUGAUACAUACCAUGAGUGCGAUGUAUGCGGUAAAGUUUUCAGUCAGCGUGGUCAUUUACAGCUUCACAAGGGAACACAUACGGGAGAUAAACCUCAUAGCUGUGAUGUAUGUGGUAAAGGGUUUAGUCUGCUUGGUCUGUUACGUAGACACAUGAUAAUACAUACAGGUGAGACACCUUAUGACUGUGAUAUUUGUGGAAAAGGGUUUAUUCAGCAUUAUAAUUUGCAGAUUCAUAUGAGAACACACACCAGAGGACACACAUCAUGAUUGUGAUGUAUGUGGUAGAAGAUUUCGUCUGAUUGGACAAUUACAAAGAGACAUAAGAAUACAUGGAAGUCAUAAACACUAUGACUGUGAUGUAUGUGGUAAACGGUUUAGUCAGCGUGCAUAUUGAAAGAAACACAUGGAAACACAUACAGGUGAAAAUUAUCAUGUCUGUGAUGUAUGCGGUAAACGGUUUAGUCAGCAUACAUAUUUACAGAAACACAUGAAUACACAUACUGGUGAUAAACCGCAUGACUGUAAUGUAUGUGGUAAACGGUUUAGUCAGCGUACAUAUUUAAAGAAACACAUGAAAUCACAUACUGGUGAUAAACCGCAUGGCUGCAAUGUAUGUUACAAAAAGUUUGAACGUUCUAGUAAUUUAAAACUUCACAUGACAAUACAUACAGGUGAUAAACCUCAUGAGUGUGAUGUAUGUGGUAAA